AUCUAUGGCCAUGCCACCCUGAAUGUGCCUGAUCCCAUCUGAUCUCGGAAGCUAAGUAGAGUCAGGCCUGGUUAGUACUUGGAUGGGAGACCCUAGGAAGACCAGGUGCUAUAGGCU
rnacentral:rRNA from 1 species